UAUCUGAUUGAUUCUGUCAGCGCUAUAUGCUUACGUAAAAGACUAAGCCAUGCAUGUACUGUUCAACUAACGGUGAAACUGCGAACGGCUCAUUAGAGCAGAUAUCAUUUAUUCGGUAAUAUUUUUGGAUAACUGCGGUAAUUCUGGAGCUAAUACAUGCAUCAAUGCCCCAACUUCGGAAGGGGUGCAAUUAUUAGAACAGACCAAUCGUCCUUGGACGUAGUUUGUUGACUCUGAAUAACGCAGCAUAUCGGCGGCUAGUCCGCUGAUAAUCCGAGAAAGUGUCUGCCCUAUCAACCUGAUGGUAGUCUAUUAGUCUACCAUGGUUAUCACGGGUAACGGAGAAUAAGGGUUCGACUCCGGAGAGGGAGCCUUAGAAACGGCUACCACAUCCAAGGAAGGCAGCGCGGCGCGUAACUUAUCCACUCCUAAUCGGUGAGAUAGUGACUAAAAUAAAAAGACCAUUCCUAUGGAACGGUUAUUUCAAUGAGUAGAUCUUAAAUCUAUCUUCGAGUAUCUAGUGGAGGGCAAGUCUGGUGCCAGCAGCCGCGGUAAUUCCAGCUCCACAAGUGUAAAUCGUCAUUGCUGCGGUUAAAAAGCUCGUAGUUGGAUCUUAGUUACGUUACUUUGAUUCGCCUUUGGCGUUAAUCAUUGUCGUGACUAUUUUGUUGGUUUCUGUUGGUGGCUUCGGCUCCUUCAGUGGCUAGCGAGUUUACUUUGAAUAAAUUAGAGUGCUCAAAACAAGCGUUUGCUUGAAUGCUCGAUCAUGGAAUAAUAAAAGAGGACUUCGGUUCUAUUUGUUGGUUCAGGAACUGAAUUAAUGGUUAAGAGGGGACAACUCGGGGGCAUUCGUAUCCCUGCGCGAGAGGUGAAAUUCGUGGACCGCAGGGGGACGCCCUAAAGCGAAAG
rfam:Heterorhabditis bacteriophora unplaced genomic scaffold Scaffold396, whole genome shotgun sequence.